GAUGAACGCUGGCGGCGUGCCUAAUACAUGCAAGUCGAGCGAACAGAUAAGGAGCUUGCUCCUUUGACGUUAGCGGCGGACGGGUGAGUAACACGUGGGUAACCUACCUAUAAGACUGGGAUAAUAUCGGGAAACCGGAGCUAAUACCGGAUAAUAUUUCGAACCGCAUAGUUCGAUAGUGAAAGAUGGUUUUGCUAUCACUUAUAGAUGGACCCGCGCAGUAUUAGCUAGUUGGUAAGGUAACGGCUUACCAAGGCGACGAUACGUAGCCGACCUGAGAGGGUGAUCGGCCACACUGGAACUGAGACACGGUCCAGACUCCUACGGGAGGCAGCAGUAGGGAAUCUUCCGCAAUGGGCGAAAGCCUGACGGAGCAACGCCGCGUGAGUGAUGAAGGUCUUCGGAUCGUAAAGCUCUGUUAUUAGGGAAGAACAUACGUGUAUGUAACUGUGCACGUCUUGACGGUACCUAAUCAGUAAGCCACGGCUAACUACGUG
rnacentral:rRNA from 1 species